AGAGGAGGGAUACGUGUGAACAUUCUAGUGAAGCGAAGGCAUUUCAUGACUACGUAAGUAAAACUAAAGUUUCGUAGAUUAACAUUAUUUCUGUUGUUGUUGUAACGGUUUGUUAAUACUAGAAGUUACCUAAGACUUUGCUGAAUUGUUUAUAUGAAUAUAUUAUACAUUAUACGAUGUCCAUGAAAAGAAAAAUUGCAAAGCUGUUUAGAACAUGCCGCGCUUUUUUUUUUUAUUUUUCAUAGAAGCCAUCGGUAUAAAUUUGUAUAUUUAUGUUAAUAUACACAUUUAUCGGUGAAUUUCCAUGUCAGGGUCAAAAUCAAACGCUUCGGGGGAUUUCUCCAUAGUGGUUUGUAACCCACUUUAACGUGGUAUUUCCGGAAUUGCGCAAAAGUUAGGAAAACAAGGUCGUUUGUUUCUUUUCGAGGAGAGAAAAAUGCAUACAAUACACACACAGGUAAUUAAGUUUUUCGUUUCGUCAUAUACGUUGUUUAAAUAAUCCCCACACACAACAGGAUUCGUUUUUCGAAUAUGAGAAAAACAGCGUAAUUCUGAAAAACUAUAAUCGUAAAAAAAAUUACAUCGGACAUAUGGAAACAGUUCGAAUCCAAUCGAUAUUGUAUAUUAGAAAUAAAACAUUUAAUUUAUAGAAAUAGCGAUUGGCGCGCGAAUUUUUGGGCUAUCUACAUCCAAAAUCGUCGUUAAAAUUUUUUGCUUUUGGAACUUAAGAAAAAGUCAAGUUAACAGGUUGAGAAGUUUCGAAUAGCGCGCUUACCGCGAUGCGAAUCAGAAAAAAAGACCAUACCGUGGCCCCUCACAGGCGGAAAUGACGCAACCGGGGCUGCUGCCAAGUUAUCGCGACGCGUCCGGUGUUUUGGCAGCAGGAGGAAAACGGCUGUUUGCGUAAUAUCCCGCGGCCGCCCGUGACGUAACAGCAAAGUAAUAAACAUCGCACUAAUUUCGGAAAAGUGCGGGACGUCAGCGAAAUUUUUUAUAUAAUUUUAACGAUUAUUUCGGCGCCAUCUGCCGCUGCAAAAUCGAACUAGCACGGUAAGCGUAUCACGAUGAAGUAUAUCAAAUCAGACACAGUAUUUCAUACUUCCUAAUUAAUGAAUUUUUUUGAUUACGCUGAUCGCGUAAUUUUUAAUAGUUUUCGAAAGUUUAGCGAUCGAGACAUUACGGAAAUCAGUAUUUCCUCCUCCUACGUUAAUGGCAAACGGUAGUUUAUCCGCGGUUUUUAGUCCCAAAAAUGGGACGUAUCUAGCCGGGUCGCUCCAUUUCUAUCGCACGACCUUAUCGCGGGUCACGUGGCUGGCGUGGUGUUUCACCAUGGUGACGACCAGGAGAAAUCAGUCGCUUAACUCCGCUUCUACUCUCUCGUUUACGAUCAGAUUUUUAGGUGCCGAUCAAACGUUUUCAUUUUAUCGAUUUUAGCGAAAAUAAGGAAACAAGUUUUCUUAUUUCUUUUUUUUCAAUAAAAAUAUUUAGCAUUGAUGCAACUGGUUCCGCCAAAUGGGUAGAUCAUCUCGUGUACGAGUGAAGUCGGCGUAAUGGAGAGUGAAUGAAAGCAAGUUAACAACACAAAAGGUUUAUUUCGGAUGGCUUUAUUGAUAUAUAGGGAAUAAAUAUCAAAUUCCUAGAAGUUCUGUUCACAGGAACCCGUUUUCUUGUGUAGAAGACUAGGCAGUCGAGCGGGUGAUGCAUCCCAUACACAAUAAUGUAGAAAGCUCUACCGAUCGAUAUUCACCAAGUGGCAACAGGUUGUACGCGACCGUUGCGUCGGCUCCACGUCCGUUUCCAGGGUACUAGAAGAGGAAAACAAGAACCGGUUACUAAAUUAGCAAAGUUUUGUAUAAUAUUUAAUCCAUCAGCCGAAAAUGAGUUCUGGAUUCAUUUUGAGGAAAAAGUGCUUUAAAUCACAUUAUAUUCAUUUGUUACAGUUACCAAACAAAUUUAUUUCCCAAAUGAUUUUUUUUACCGCUUUCGGAAAACUAAUUUAUGUUAAUAAUUCUUAGUUUUGAAAGGAAAUUUAACCAAUAGAAAGUUGGAUUGGUAGAGAGAAAAUACUAAUAGGCUGACUGAUGGAACGCCUUAUUAUGAGGGUGUGCUCUGCGAAAAAUGUCGUGACAGACAAAGUGGAACACUGCAGGGUUGGUGACCCUGCAAGGCCCGCCCGCGGUCGUUGAUACAGUGGAGGUUUCUUACGCCAGAUAGCCUGUCAGUAUGGUAAGGGAGGAGAGUUAAACGACAGGCUAGAGAUGUCCCGGUUCCUUGAACUCUGCGUUUUGAGACGGAAGGGGUUGAGCAAUUAUCUCGGCUGGUGAACCAUGAGACAAACACCGCGCGCGCGCGCGUUACCUGAGUUAAAUGACCUAAGUCGAAUCCGGCGCCCAUUUUUGAUCCAGCAUGGCUGGUAGAAACCGCGGACGACCCAGUUGCCCGUCGCUGCGAAACAGCGGAUUGUUUUUUUCCCUGUAGACUAGAGCUCUCGCACGUAGCGUUUAGGGGUGUUGUGUAGGAUAGUGGCAUGCGCCUGCCGUAUUCAGCCGGAGGGAUCGGGCUUUUCUGUCUAUCAGUUCGACUCUGUGGAUCUUUUGAUGCUAGUUUCCUUCACUUUUUUUUUUUAAUCCGAGGAGGAGGAGGAAACCGCCACUCUCGCUCUACUUCUUCCGUCCAUUGACGUUUACGGUCGUGUCCUGCUUUUUCUUGUGCUGAACUGACUUCCUUAUCCGCCACGCGUGGCCUGGCGGCGCACGUGACCGGAUGUCCUUCCGUGAAAAUAGAGCAGGCAGGUGGAUCAACGGUUUCUCGCGACCUUCCCACCGAGUGACUCCCCUCUAUAUCAAAUGCGAUAGUGAAGUGUUUGAUACUAUAGAAGUAUUGUAUGAUAUUCACUGUUUCUUUAUUGAACUAUUUUAUUUCUGGUCAUCUUGCAUGAAAACAACUAUUGGUUCCACGCCUUUACUGCCGCGGAUCAUGCGGAGUUCAGUGUACUCUCCGAGAAGGAAGGUGGGAAGGAAAGAAGAAAAAGACGCCGCACCACCCGCCGAGCCCAGAGUCCAUUUUACUAACUAACCUUAGCAACAAAAAAUUUUUAAGGCGAAAGUUGAUCGAUCGAUCAAAAGAAGUAUAUAGUACGGCCAGUCGAGUCGACUCUGUUGGAUAGAGGGUCGAGACACUUGUUUGAUUAAAGUAUCAGAGGGGAAGAAUCUCGCGCUUUCCAUAAACUGCUGCCUAGAAUAUAAACAUAGAGCAUAGAAGGAAGAGGAGCCGAUAGAUUGAAAAAUUUCUGGGAAACGACGAGUUUUCGUUUACCGAUCGUAUGAUUCGGGUCGCGCAGCAUCCAGUUACAACUUGGCUCCUGUUUACAAGAUAGCGUGCCGCCGGACACCGACAACACACGCACUGCGUGUCAGGAACGCCGCCAGCGCUGUCGACACCCUCUACCCCUUUAAUCUUUUCGACUUUCCCCCCGGUUUUCUUCCUCCCGUGAAGGUUACAUGUAGGCGGGGCAGUAUUCCAAUCCCCAUCCUUAGCUUCACCUCCCCUAUUUUUUCCCUUUAUUGUCGCGGGCAGGAAAUAGCUGCUAGUAUUGAUUAUUGACAUUCAGUGACGAUAGUAUUUUUCUCCUAACUCGAGUGAAUAUUUAAUGCUGAAAUUCUUUUUCAUUUUCCCGUACAAAAAAAUGCGAUAUUGUAGGUAUAGCUUCCGCACAUCAUACACGCGGGAUCACAAUUUCUGUGACCGUAACGGACAGGUGACGCGGAUCGACAGAUGGCGGCGGCGCGGUCACCUUCCUGCCAUCUGUUCGCAACUCGACCUCGAGUGUUCCGCGGUAUCGCAAGCUUACCCUUCGAAUUUUUGAUCGAUUCAUUAAUUUAUUUGUAGUUAUGAAAAUAAUUAGCAUUUGUAUAUUACAAAAAUUAUUCAACAUUCUUAUUUUUCUUUAUAGGGUUUCGUCAAUUCCGGUUACGCAGUCAACGGUAUUGCCCACGUAAGUAAACUGUUUCCAUUUUGUUAUCUUGCGCGGCCGCUCGAACUUCUCAAGUUUGAGAACAUACUCGACGGGAAGAAAACAAUUUAAACUAUCGAUCCGUUUCGCCGGCUCCUCCGAGCGCACGCGCCCACCCUAUACUCACGAUAUAGAUCCGCCCGUGCAGCUCUUGGGGGGAGAGCAUGCGCGCGCUAUUCCCCACUUCCGGCGGAAGGAGGCCCCCACCAAAGGACGAGCCGAUUUUUCUUUACCGGUGAAGAGCGAAUGUCGUAACCAUUAGUAUGAGAGAGUGACCUCCCUCCCCAUUCACCUGAGUCCGGUAGCUGGCUUUAAACUGCUCUUCUCGCCCGGUGGUGACGAAUUUUGAAGGUGGCGGGAAGCUUGGAUGCCCCCACGCGACACAAAAUCGAUACGUUUUGAGUGAGCAUUGGAACCGUUCCAUUCGCGCGUCUUUCUGCCCCCUAUAGAAUGAUUGCUGUCAUCUUACGGAUGAUCAUGUAAUUUCGUCAGGCUUGCAUAAUUUAGAAUAUGGAUCGUAUACGAGAAACAGACGUGUUUUGGGAACAUGGGCCUAAAGAACUGAUAUCUGAAUUAUAAUUACAGCCCUGAGACCACGGCAUGCAGAGCCACCAACACGUUUGGCAUUUUCUGCGGCCAGCGAGGUCGAAGACCGUUCGUCCCGCCUCGGUGGUCACUAGUGAGAAGCGAAGCAGAAAUACAUGGAAAAAACUGCCGGGCGGCCGGGAGGUUCUGUGACGUCACGCGGUCAACCAGGCGUGAAGGUCUUUCUUUGGCAGACACACUGGACGCUUUAGUGGAUACGUGGCGCCAUCUAUGGAAUACUGAGGAAAUUGCGAUCGGAGGUUUAAGAUACAUUUAUAUGUAUUAGAAAAUUUUGAAUUCGUGCUAUAAAUUAAAGCCCCAACAUUUUCAGAAAUGUGAAGCCGGGCCAAUUCUCAUCUGGCGGAGAGAUGAAAAUGUCCAUUGAUGACGUCAUCUUCAGUCUAGUAGGUAGGGUUGCCACGGAGACCGUAGCUAUGGAUAUGGCACCGUUCUCUUUGACGUCACUAUGCAUCGUGCAAACAGUCGAGACCUUGAAAGUUCUCUUUCUCCGGCAUUUUAUUUCUCGUAACUUUUCGAUCCAUUCGCAGAAGGGAGGCAGGAAAGGGGAGGCCGCCAAGCGACAACCUGUCAGACCGGGCACGUUCCGGUCUAUUGUGUCGAGCCGACCUUGACCUUUACCCCCCGUGCCGAAAAAGGUUGAAUGUCCCUUGUCGCGUCAUCUCUUCCCGCUCCGGAUUCCGUUCCCACCGAAAAUGAGGCGCUCUGGCUCCUCUGUGACGUCACCAGUGACGGCGCCCUCCGAGAUCGGGUCGAUGCACCUCGUCCCGCCUACGCCGCUAUUGUCUCCCCUCGGCCGGGUUAACCGGGCCGAGCGAUUCCUUUCCUCCGGCCACCGUACCGAAAAAGGGAUUGCGGAUCAUGUGAUUGGUCUUUGUUCCCAUCAGGCGCGCGCUAAGUUCUCACCCUAUCGCUCCUGGUUUAAGUUAAUGUUAUCGAAGUCGGCUAGACUAGUCGCUUAGCGGCCUCUAGAAAGCGGAAGAUUGCCCAAGCAGCUGGACUUGUAUACAAAAAUUCUUAUUUUCCCGAUUGGCAAAAUGCCAAGUCGGCCUUGAAACUUAGAGGGCUGUUCUUCCGCUUUAGAAACUGAGAUGAGAUAGCCAAACUUCCCUAGCCAGAUCAGAUCGGAAAGGCCACACGACCCGUUCUUUCCUUUUGCUGUUGUCGUGAGUCACGCCUCUGGUGUGGUGUCUUAAUUAUCAGUUAAAAGCUAUCUUUAUAGCAUAUGUCGUCUACAUGGAUAUAUUAUAGCAUUCAUCGCCCCCGUUAUUUUGAAGCCCAGUUUCCCCGGGAAUAACCGAUCAAUCGAUAGCAGGUGAGGUAUGGAAGGCUCACGCUCUCCUUUCCCCUUCCCACCGACAACCACGAAAAUUGCCAUGAAAAAUCAAUGAGGCGCGCUGCUUGGCCGCACGUGCUGCUACUGCACUCCCCUCUUUUAACAAUGGACUGCACUAAGUUUCUCUUCGUCCUUGUCCCCUUGCUACGCAGUGGAUGGAACUGUCCCCUCCUCCUCCUCCUCGUGCUCCAUUUCGCGGUGCCUGGAAUGACCAACCGAUCUCACGCGUAGUCAACCCGCCGCGCGCCGCGCUACAGAAUUAAUUAUUCAAUUUUUUUUUUAUUUCCUUCGUAGAACCCGACAGCGCCGAGCCCGUUGGGCCAAAUCCCACCAAAUGAGGGGAUGCCUGGAG
rnacentral:lncRNA from 1 species